rnacentral:rRNA from 1 species
UGGGGAAUAUUGCACAAUGGAGGGAACUCUGAUGCAGCGACGCCGCGUGAACGAAGAAGGCUUUCGAGUCGUAAAGUUCUUUUAUAUGGGAAGAUAAUGACGGUACCAUAAGAAAAAGCCCCGGCUAACUACGUGCCAGCAGCCGCGGUAAUACGUAGGGGGCUAGCGUUGUCCGGAAUCACUGGGCGUAAAGGGUUCGCAGGCGGAAAUGCAAGUCAGGUGUAAAAGGCAGUAGCUUAACUACUGUAAGCAUUUGAAACUGCAUAUCUUGAGAAGAGUAGAGGUAAGUGGAAUUUUUAGUAUAGCUGUGAAAUGCGUAGAUAUUAAAAAGAAUACCGGUGGCGAAGGCGACUUACUGGGCUCAUUCUGACGCUGAGGAACGAAAGCGUGGGUAGCAAACAGG